rnacentral:rRNA from 1 species
GACGAACGCUGGCGGCGUGCUUAAUACAUGCAAGUCGAACGGAAAGGCCCUGCUUUUGUGGGGUGCUCGAGUGGCGAACGGGUGAGUAACACGUGAGUAACCUGCCCUUGACUUUGGGAUAACUUCAGGAAACUGGGGCUAAUACCGGAUAGGAGCUCCUGCUGCAUGGUGGGGGUUGGAAAGUUUCGGCGGUUGGGGAUGGACUCGCGGCUUAUCAGCUUGUUGGUGGGGUAGUGGCUUACCAAGGCUUUGACGGGUAGCCGGCCUGAGAGGGUGACCGGCCACAUUGGGACUGAGAUACGGCCCAGACUCCUACGGGAGGCAGCAGUGGGGAAUAUUGCACAAUGGGCGGAAGCCUGAUGCAGCAACGCCGCGUGCGGGAUGACGGCCUUCGGGCUGUAAACCGCUUUCGCCUGUGACGAAGCGUGAGUGACGGUAAUGGGUAAAGAAGCACCGGCUAACUACGUG